UUUUCUCCUACCUUGUCUA
rnacentral:siRNA from 1 species